UACAGGUGCCGUUGUUCAAACAGGGUUCAUCGAUGCAAUCUGUAAUACGACGGCUGCAGUUUUCUCCUCCAAAUCCAGGCACAGUGGUCUAAUGAUAGUUCAACACUGCAGACCCGGCAGCAACAUCUGAGAUCAGGAUGAUGAGUUCUGACUAAGCCAAGCGAUAAUAAAACACAGCUUGAUCGUGUGAUCGGAUGAAAGACCGUUAAGCCUACGGUACUCAAAAGCAAACAGAGCUCGGCUAAAAGUGCUUAACAUGAAUUCCUCCCUCACACCGUUUCCAAAUGACUCAGCCACGUUGUCAUGGCAACGGGAAACAAUGGCACCCACCCCCCAAACUUUUUCUGUAUCAGACAGCGGCCUGAGAGCGGGGCAGAAUCGGACUGGAUGGACAGAGGGAGGGAAAAUAGAGACAGGGAUGAAUAACCUCCCCCAAACUCCUGUCUGUACCACGCACCGCUCAUAUCAACUA